GCACUACUAGGUUAAUGGUAGACUUCCUUACUUCGGAUAAGGCUGUGGGGGUUCGAAUCCUUCGUAGUGUA
rnacentral:tRNA from 2 species